GGACCCGCACAAGCGGUGGAGCAUGUGGUUUAAUUCGAAGCAACGCGAAGAACCUUACCAAGUCUUGACAUCGGAAUGACCGUCCCGUAACUGGGGCGUUCCCUUCGGGGCAUUCCAGACAGGUGGUGCAUGGUUGUCGUCAGCUCGUGUCGUGAGAUGUUGGGUUAAGUCCCGCAACGAGCGCAACCCUUAUCCUUAGUAGCCAGCAGUUCGGCUGGGCACUCUGGGGAGACUGCCAGGGAUAACCUGGAGGAAGGUGGGGAUGACGUCAAAUCAUCAUGCCCCUUAUGAUUUGGGCUACACACGUGCUACAAUGGCGUAAACAAAGGGAAGCGAAGGAGUGAUCUGGAGCAAAUCUCAAAAAUAACGUCUCAGUUCGGAUUGUAGUCUGCAACUCGACUACAUGAAGCUGGAAUCGCUAGUAAUCGCGGAUCAGAAUGCCGCGGUGAAUACGUUCCCGGGUCUUGUACACACCGCCCGUCACACCAUGGGAGUUGGUAACGCCCGAAGUCAGUGACCCAACCGUAAGGAGGGAGCUGCCGAAGGCGGGACUGAUAACUGGGGUGAAGUCGUAACAAGGUAGCCGUAUCGGAAGGUGCGGCU
rnacentral:rRNA from 1 species